GCCUGGGUGGCUCAGUCGGUUGAGCAUCCGACUUCAGCUCAGGUCACGAUCUCACGGUUUGUGAGUUCGAGCCCCGCAUCGGGCU
rnacentral:tRNA from 1 species